rnacentral:rRNA from 1 species
ACGGGGCGCAGCAGGCGCGAAACCUCCGCAAUGCGGGAAACCGCGACGGGGGGACCCCCAGUGCCGUGGCAACGCCACGGCUUUUCCGGAGUGUAAAAAGCUCCGGGAAUAAGGGCUGGGCAAGGCCGGUGGCAGCCGCCGCGGUAAUACCGGCGGCCCGAGUGGUGGCCGCUAUUAUUGGGCCUAAAGCGUCCGUAGCCGGGCCCGUAAGUCCCUGGCGAAAUCCCACGGCUCAACCGUGGGGCUUGCUGGGGAUACUGCGGGCCUUGGGACCGGGAGAGGCGGGGGGUACCCCUGGGGUAGGGGUGAAAUCCUAUAAUCCCAGGGGGACCGCCAGUGGCGAAGGCGCCCCGCUGGAACGGGUCCGACGGUGAGGGACGAAGGCCAGGGGAGCGAACCGGAUUAGAUACCCGGGUAGUCCUGGCUGUAAAGGGUGCGGGCUAGGUGUCGGGCGAGCUCCGAGCUCGCCCGGUGCCGUAGGGAAGCCGUUAAGCCCGCCGCCUGGGGAGUACGGCCGCAAGGCUGAAACUUAAAGGAAUUGGCGGGGGACAC